rnacentral:rRNA from 1 species
UACGUAGGGUGCGAGCGUUGCCCGGAUUUAUUGGGCGUAAAGGGCGCGUAGGCGGCUCUGCACGUCCGUUGUGAAAUCGCCCGGCUCAACUGGGCGGGUCAGCGGAUACGGCAGAGCUCGAGCAAGCUAGGGGCAAUGGAAUUCCCGGUGUAGUGGUGGAAUGCGUAGAUAUCGGGAGAACACCAGUGGCGAAGGCGGUUGCCUGGG